rnacentral:rRNA from 1 species
UACGUAGGGGGCGAGCGUUGUCCGGAUUUAUUGGGCGUAAAGAGCGUGUAGGCGGCCAGGUAGGUCUGCUGUGAAAACUCGAGGCUCAACCUCGAGACGUCGGCGGAAACCAUCUGGCUAGAGUCCGGAAGAGGAGAGUGGAAUUCCAGGUGUAGCGGUGAAAUGCGCAGAUAUCAGGAAGAACACCAAUGGCGAAAGCAGCUCUCUGGGACGGUACUGACGCUGAGACGCGAAAGCGUGGGGAGCGAACAGG